rnacentral:rRNA from 1 species
UACGUAGGGGCCAAGCGUUGUUCGGAUUUACUGGGCGUAAAGGGCGCGUAGGCGGCGUGACUAGUCACUUGUGAAAUCUCCGGGCUUAACUCGGAACGGUCAAGUGAUACUGUCGUGCUAGAGUACAGAAGGGGCAACUGGAAUUCUCGGUGUAGCGGUGAAAUGCGUAGAUAUCGAGAGGAACACCUGCGGCGAAGGCGGGUUGCUGGGCUGAUACUGACGCUGAUGCGCGAAAGCCAGGGGAGCGAACGGG